CCUCAGUCUGCACUGACCCACGGAGGUCACGACCCAGACUGGACACCUCCCUCAGUCUGCACUGACCCACGGAGACCACGACCCAGACUGGACACCACCCUCAGUCUGCACUGACCCACGGAGACCACGACCCAGACUGGACACCACCCUCAGUCUGCACUGACCCACGGAGGUCACGACCCAGACUGGACACCUCCCUCAGUCUGCACUGACCCACGGAGACCACGACCCAGACUGGACACCACCCUCAGUCUGCACUGACCCACGGAGACCACGACCCAGACUGGACACCACCCUCAGUCUGCACUGACCCACGGAGGUCACGACCCAGACUGGACACCUCCCUCAGUCUGCACUGACCCACGGAGACCACGACCCAGACUGGACACCACCCUCAGUCUGCACUGACCCACGGAGACCACGACCCAGACUGGACACCACCCUCAGUCUGCACUGACCCACGGAGGUCACGACCCAGACUGGACACCUCCCUCAGUCUGCACUGACCCACGGAGACCACGACCCAGACUGGACACCACCCUCAGUCUGCACUGACCCACGGAGGUCACGACCCAGACUGGACACCUCCCUCAGUCUGCACUGACCCACGGAGACCACGACCCAG